rnacentral:rRNA from 1 species
GAUGAACGCUGGCGGCGUGCCUAAUACAUGCAAGUCGAGCGAACAGACGAGGAGCUUGCUCCUCUGACGUUAGCGGCGGACGGGUGAGUAACACGUGGAUAACCUACCUAUAAGACUGGGAUAACUUCGGGAAACCGGAGCUAAUACCGGAUAAUAUAUUGAACCGCAUGGUUCAAUAGUGAAAGACGGUUUUGCUGUCACUUAUAGAUGGAUCCGCGCCGCAUUAGCUAGUUGGUAAGGUAACGGCUUACCAAGGCGACGAUGCGUAGCCGACCUGAGAGGGUGAUCAGCCACACUGGAACUGGGACACGGUCCAGACUCCUAGGGGAGGCAGCAGUAGGGAAUAUUUCGCCAUGGGCGAAAGCCUGAAGGAGCAACGCCGCGUGAGUGAUGAAGGUCUUCGGAUCGUAAACCUCUGUUAUUAGGGAAGAAAAAUUGUGUAAGUAACUAUGCACGUCUUGACGGUACCUAAUCAGAAAGCCACGGCUAACUUCGUG